rnacentral:rRNA from 1 species
CGUGACGAGGGAAUCCCGAGUGCUCAUACAAUGUAUGGGCUUUUCUUAUGUGUAAAUAGCAUGAGGAAUAAGGGCUGGGUAAGACCGGUGCCAGCCGCCGCGGUAAUACCGGCAGCUCUAGUGGUAGCCACUUUUAUUGGGCCUAAAGCGUCCGUAGCCGGUCGGGUAAAUCCUUGGGUAAAUCGUACAGCUUAACUGUGCGGCUUCCGGGGAGACUGCCUGACUUGGGACCGGGAGAGGUUGGAGGUACUCCUGGGGUAGGGGUGAAAUCCUGUAAUCCUAGGUGGACCACCGGUGGCGAAGGCGUCCAACCAGAACGGCUCCGACGGUGAGGGACGAAGGCUAGGGGCGCAAACCGGAUUAGAUACCCGGGUAGUCCUAGCUGUAAACGCUGCAGACUUGGUGUUGGAGAUCCCACGAGGGUGUCCAGUGCCGGAGAGAAGUUGUUAAGUUUGCCGCCUG